rnacentral:rRNA from 1 species
AUUGAACGCUGGCGGCAGGCAUAACACAUGCAAGUCGAGCGAGCGGCGGACGGGUGAGUAAUGUCUGGGAAACUGCCUGCUGGAGGGGGAUAACUACUGGAAACGGUAGCUAAUACCGCAUACCCUCAGAUGUGCCCAGAUGGGAUUAGCUUGUAGGUGGGGUAAAGGCUCACCUAGGCGACGAUCCCUAGCUGGUCUGAGAGGAUGACCAGCCACACUGGAACUGAGACACGGACCAGACUCCUACGGGAGGCAGCAGUGGGGAAUAUUGCACAAUGGGCGCAAGCCUGAGGCAGCCAUGCCGCGUGUGUGAAGAAGGCCUUAGGGUUGUAAAGAACUUUCAGCGGGGAGGCGUUACCCGCAGAAGAAGCACCGGCUAACUCCGUGCCAGCAGCCGCGGUAAUUA